rnacentral:rRNA from 1 species
UGAGACAAAGGACGAGCCGGGAAUGGAAAAACCGGUGCAAGCGAGGUAGCUUCAUGGGAGGGAAAACCCCCAUGUAUAAGGCGAAUGCGUGAAGCGUAGCGAACAUAAAAGUAGCGAAGCGUGUGGAGUCACUGUCAGGAAAAGCCGCUAUUGCGUAUCAUGAACCCGUACCGUAAACCGACACAGGUGGAUGAGGAGAGAAUCCUAAGGCCGACGGAAGAAGCAUUGUUAAGGAAUUCGGCAAAAUGACCCCGUAACUUCGGGAGAAGGGGUGCCUACGAAUGUAGGCCGCAGAGAAUUGGCCCAAGCAACUGUUUAGCAAAAACACAGGUUUAUGCGAAACCGAAAGGUGAAGUAUAUGAGCUGACGCCUGCCCGGUGCUGGAAGGUUAAGGGGAGAGCUUAGAGGCAACUCGAAGGUUCGAACUUAAGCCCCAGUAAACGGCGGCCGUAACAAUAACGGUCCUAAGGUAGCGAAAUUCCUUGUCGGGUAAGUUCCGACCCGCACGAAAGGCGUAAUGAUUUGGGCACUGUCUCGACAAUGCAUCCGGUGAAAUUGAAAUACCAGUGAAGAUGCUGGUUACCCGCGCCAGGACGGAAAGACCCCAUGGAGCUUUACUCCAGUUUGAUGCUGGGAUUCGGUACUGCAUGUACAGGAUAGGCGGGAGACUAGGAAGAUAUAACGCCAGUUGUAUCAGAGUCGCUGUUGGGAUACCGCCCUUGUAGUACUGGGUUUCUAACCUGCCACCGUGAACCGGUGGAGGGACGACGUCAGGCGGGGAGUUUGACUGGGGCGGUCGCCUCCGAGAGGGUAUCGGAGGCGCUCAAAGGUUCCCUCAGAAUGGUUGGAAACCAUUCGAAGAGUGCAAAGGCAGAAGGGAGCUUGACUGCGAGGUCGACGGACCGAGCAGGUACGAAAGUAGGACUUAGUGAUCCGGUGGUAGAAAGUGGGAUUGCCAUCGCUCAACGGAUAAAAGCUACCCUGGGAUAACAGGCUAACCACUCCCAAGAGUUCACAUCGACGGAGUGGUUUGGCACCUCGAUGUCGGCUCAUCGCAUCCUGGGGCUGUAGCAGGUCCCAAGGGUUGGGCUGUUCGCCCAUUAAAGCGGUACGCGAGCUGGGUUCAGAACGUCGUGAGACAGUUCGGUCCCUAUCCGGCGCGGGCGUAGGAUAUCUGAAAGGAGCUGGCCUUAGUACGAGAGGACCGGGCUGGACGGACCGCUGGUGUAUCUGUUGUCAUACCAAUGGCAUAGCAGGGUAGCCAAGUCUGGAAGGGAUAAACGCUGAAGGCAUCUAAGCGUGAAGCCCCCCUUAAGAUAAGAUAUCCCUGGAGUUAAUCCAGUAAGACCCCUUGAAGACGACGAGGUAGAUAGGGCAGAGGUGGAAGAGUGGUAACACAUGGAGCUGACUGUCACUAAUAGGUCGAGGGCUUG